GGUUCAUACAGUGCUGCCGUUGUUAGCAAACGAUUGAUUUCAUUUGUUGUCUCCCUCUCUGUCAUCCUCCGCGCGUGGAGGAUUUGGUACGGUCGCGCAGGCGGCAGUGGAACAGCGAGCACACAUUGCCCGCGUGGUUUAUCUUUUCUUGACUCGCUCGCGGGACUGGAAAGCCUGCAUCUGAGCUCGAGCUGUGACGACUGGAAAUGGACAGCAGCAACGGAGGAGCCGUGAAACCGUCUUACACCGGUUGUUGCACUAUCAGACCCGAGAUCUCCUUCACCAUCCUGCACCUCGCAAUAGGUCAGAUUCACAGAUUACUUCUAUCUCCAGCGCUGGUGAUGAAGUUGAGUGACCAGCAUAUCUUUUUUUCCCUCCCUCCCUAACCUUCUCUCCCACCUCGGAGCGUUCUCCUAUGUACUUUGGCAUUUGGCUGCUGCCGUCUGUCUCAGUAAAAACCAUCGGCUGUGAAAUUGAGAAUAAUCAUGUGGAACGAGAUUGGGAUGGGAGCAGCUUGAGCUCCAGCCUUUCACUGUCAAUGGACUCGUGGCUCCUGCUGAUAAAGUCCACCAAGGGUUGAACAUUCGCACACAACGUUUUUUGAUGACGUCUGACGAAUACUAUUUGUCAUUUCUCUUGUCGCUCUCAGGCCUAGUGUCAGGGUGGUAAAAUGGCCAGUAAUUGCC